rnacentral:rRNA from 1 species
ACGAACGCUGGCGGCGUGCUUAACCCAUGCAAGUCGAACGGAAAGGCCUGCUUUCCCUUGUGGAUUGCGGGUGCUCGAGUGGCGAACGGGUGAGUAACACGUGAGUGAUCUGCCCCCAACUUGGGUAUAAGCCUGGGAAACUGGGUCUAAUUCCCGAUAGGACUGCAGGGUGGUGCCUGUGGUGGAAAACGAUUUUCUAGUGGUUGGGGAUGAGCUCGCGGCCUAUCAGCUUGUUGGUGGGGUAAUGGCCUACCAAGGCGGCGACGGGUAGCCGGCCUGAGAGGGUGGACGGCCACAUUGGGACUGAGAUGCGGCCCAGACUCCUACGGGAGGCAGCAGUGGGGAAUAUUGCACAAUGGGCGGAAGCCUGAUGCAGCGACGCCGCGUGGGGGAUGACGGCCUUCGGGUUGUAAACUCCUUUCGACCGCGAGGAAGCCACCUGGUUGGAAGGGUGGUGACGGUAGUGGUAGAAGAAGCACCGGCUAACUACGUG